AACGAACGCUGGCGGCGCGUUUUAAGCAUGCAAGUCGAACGGUAGAGGGGAGCAAUCCCCUUGAGAGUGGCGAACGGGUGAGUAACACGUAGGUGAUCUACCCUGGGGUUGGGGAUAGCCUGUGGAAACACAGGGUAAUACCGGAUACGCUGACGCUCCAAACUUUUGGAGCGUAAGGAAAGACGCUAAGGCGUCGACCUGGGAUGAGCCUGCGGCUCAUUAGCUAGUUGGUGGGGUAAAGGCCUACCAAGGCGACGAUGGGUAGCCGGCCUGAGAGGGUGUACGGCCACACUGGGACUGAGAGACGGCCCAGACUCCUACGGGUGGCAG
rnacentral:rRNA from 1 species